rnacentral:lncRNA from 1 species
CACUGACUCAGACGUACUUAUAAAUAUAAUUAUUUUCUGUGACUGUAUCUUGCAUUAAUUUGUAGGAUCCUUUACUAUAGAUAAUUGAGCUGAUCUGUGACAAUAACAUCUCCAUGCCUUAUAUAUCAUGUACUGUAGUACGACGCUAGAUUAAAACUGACGAGGAAAGGUAACACACGGCCACCGAAAGCUUUAUUAUUGUGAAGC